rnacentral:rRNA from 1 species
CCAAUAGCGUAUAUUAAAGUUGUUGCAGUUAAAAAGCUCGUAGUUGAAUUUCGAGAUCGGCUUACUGGUCGUGCUUUUGUACGUACUGGUAUAAUCGGUUUCUCCUUUCUGACGAACUUUAAUGCCAUUAAUUUGGUGUUUUAGGAAAUCAGGACUGUUACUUUGAAAAAAUUAGAGUGUUUAAAGCAGGCUCACGCUUG